UCCCGCUCAGGGCUGCUCCUGGAGAGUUUCCAGUACUCUGUCAGUCUUGGCUACAGGAGGGAGAGCCAAGCAGAGGCCUACCCAUUCCAUUUCUAGCUUGGGCAGUGGCUAGCGGAUGGAAGGCAAUCUGCUACAAGC